rnacentral:other from 1 species
GAUACGCUGUGGUGUGCGAAUUCAUACUCAAGUGUUGACCGACUAUUUUUUGUAUAACCCGGGAGACAAAGACAUCUAACCGCGUGCAGGCCGUUCCACACGGAAGCAGCUUCAGUUAGAGCAUGUCACCCACCUGCUUAUUUGCGCGGGUUCAAUACAAACCAUGAAUUUUCGGCACCAAUACAGCUAUUUU